UUGAUAGCCCUGGCGAGAAACAUUUUCAAUUUAUCUGCACAACAGGUACAGCAUGAACAUCAGCAGUGCUAGCCUCCUGCCUGUGGUUCCCAUCCAAGCCUCCUCAGUCCUGCGAGGGACCACCUAGAAGUGGUCAGGAGCUAUUUUCAUGCGGUCCAUCUGUGUCCACC
ensembl:misc_RNA